GACGAACGCUGGCGGCGUGCUUAACACAUGCAAGUCGAACGGAAAGGCCCUGCUUGCGUGGGGUGCUCGAGUGGCGAACGGGUGAGUAACACGUGAGUAACCUGCCCUUGACUUUGGGAUAACUUCAGGAAGCUGGGGCUAAUACCGGCUAGGAGCUCCUGCUGGAUGGUGGGGGUUGGACAGUUUCGGCGGUUGGGGAUUGACUCGGGGCUUAUCAGCUUGUUGGUGGGGUAGUGGCUUACCAAGGCUUUGAAGGGUAGCCGGCCUGAGUGGGUGACCGGCGACAUGGGGACUGAGAGACGGACCAGACUGGUACAGGAGACAGUAGUGGGGAAUAUUGCACAAUGGGCGGGAGCGUGAUGCGGAGGCGCCGCGUGCGUGAUGACGGCCUUCGGGUUGGAAACCGCAUUAGGCUGUGACGAAGCGGGAGUGACGGUAAUGGGUAAAGAAGCACCGGCUAACUACGUG
rnacentral:rRNA from 1 species